UAUCCGUUAUGGAAAAUUCAUCACUAAUAACUAUGAUAUUUAUAAUAUUAUAGAAAUGGUGUGCAAUUUUUCCAUAUAAGGACAUUGUAAUCUGUUAAUGUAAUAAAUAUUUAUUAAAAGAUCUUAUACAUAAGUUUAUUCAAAUUAGUUAUUUUCGGAUUUCUAACAUAGAAUAAAUGUAUUUGAUUUAAUAAAUCAUUGACAGAUUUAAUUAUAAUAUAGUGCUUAAAUUUUGAAAGAAAUUUUACAAUAAUAUGAUAAUUCAAUUUGUUAUAUUUAUUGUAUGCACUUAUAUGAUUAACAAUGCGAUAGAUUCAGGAUACCUUCGGGACCCGUCUUG
rnacentral:rRNA from 1 species